AAAAUUUAAAAUUAAAAUAUUAAAAUAGUAAAUAAUUAUUUAUUAAAACUUAAAUAAUUUGGCGGUAUUUUAGUUCAUUUAGAGGAAUCUGUUUAAUAAUUGAUAUUCCACGAAUAAAUUUACUUAAUUUAUAAUUUUGUAUAUCGUUGUUAUAAAAAUAUUUUAUAAUAAGAUUAAUAUUUUAAAAUUAUUAUAAAAAUUAAAUCAGAUCAAGAUGCAGAUUAUAAUUAAGAAUAUA
rnacentral:rRNA from 1 species